rnacentral:tRNA from 1 species
GCGUCUGUAGCUCAAAUGGAUAGAGCGUCGGUCUACGGAACCGAAGGUUAGGGGUUCGAGCCCUCUCAGGCGCG